ensembl:snRNA U6 U6 spliceosomal RNA
AUGCUCACUUUGGCAGCACAUAUGCUAAAAUUGAAACGAUACAGAGAGGAGUAGUGUGGCCCCUGGACAAGGAUGACAUGCAUAUUUGUGAAGCAUUCCAUCUUUUU